UGCAGUCGAACGAUGAUCCCAGCUUGCUGGGGGAUUAGUGGCGAACGGGUGAGUAACACGUGAGUAACCUGCCCUUGACUCUGGGAUAAGCCUGGGAAACUGGGUCUAAUACCGGAUACGACCAUCUGGCGCAUGUCAUGGUGGUGGAAAGCUUUUGUGGUUUUGGAUGGACUCGCGGCCUAUCAGCUUGUUGGUGGGGUAAUGGCCUACCAAGGCGACGACGGGUAGCCGGCCUGAGAGGGUGACCGGCCACACUGGGACUGAGACACGGCCCAGACUCCUACGGGAGGCAGCAGUGGGGAAUAUUGCACAAUGGGCGCAAGCCUGAUGCAGCGACGCCGCGUGAGGGAUGACGGCCUUCGGGUUGUAAACCUCUUUCAGUAGGGAAGAAGCGAAAGUGACGGUACCUGCAGAAGAAGCGCCGGCUAACUACGUGCCAGCAGCCGCGGUAAUACGUAGGGCGCAAGCGUUAUCCGGAAUUAUUGGGCGUAAAGAGCUCGUAGGCGGUUUGUCGCGUCUGCUGUGAAAGACCGGGGCUCAACUCCGGUUCUGCAGUGGGUACGGGCAGACUAGAGUGCAGUAGGGGGAGACUGGAAUUCCUGGUGUAGCGGUGAAAUGCGCAGAUAUCAGGAGGAACACCGAUGGCGAAGGCAGGUCUCUGGGGCUGUAACUGACGCUGAAGGAGCGAAAGCAUGGGGAGCGAACAGGAUUAGAUACCCCUGGUAGUCCCAUGCCGUAAAACGUUGGGCACUAAGGUGUGGGGGGACAUUUCCACCGUUUUUCCGCGCCGGGGCGGCGUGGGGAU
rnacentral:rRNA from 1 species